rnacentral:rRNA from 1 species
AGAGUUUGAUCCUGGCUCAGGACGAACGCUGGCGGUGUGCUUCACACAUGCAAGUCGAGCGAAUGAAGAAGGUAGCUUGCUACUUUUGGAUUUAGCGGCGGACGGGUGAGUAAUAUAUAGGAAUCUGCCCUAGAGCGGGGAACAACAGACCGAAAGGUUUGCUAAUGCCCCAUAGGUACGCAGUCUUCGGAUUGUUUAUUAAAGGAGUAAUCCACUCUAGGAUGAGCCUGUAUCCGAUUAGCUAGUUGGCGGGGUAAAGGCCCACCAAGGCUACGAUCGGUAGUUGGUCUGAGAGGAUGAUCAGCCACAAUGGGACUGAGACACGGCCCAUACUCCUACGGGAGGCAGCAGUGGGGAAUUUUACACAAUGGGGGAAACCCUGAUGUAGCGACACCGCGUGAACGAAGAAGCCUUUUGGGGUGUAAAGUUCUGUCGGCUGAAACGAAAAAAAUGACGGUACCAGCAAAGGAAGCAUCGGCUAACUACGUGCCAGCAGCCGCGGUAAGACGUAGGAUGCAAGCGUUGUCCGGAUUUAUUGGGCGUAAAGAGUUCGUAGGCGGUUAUUUAAGUCUGGUGUUAAAUACUGUGGCCCAACCACAGAACUGCAUUGGAUACUGGAUGACUUGAGUGCGGUAGAGGCGAGUGGAAUUCCCAGUGUAGCGGUGAAAUGCGUAGA